rnacentral:rRNA from 1 species
UACUAGGAUAUUAAAAGUUGUGUUCUUUAAAUUUAAAAAACUUGGCGGUGUUUUAAUCUAAUUAGAGGAACCUGUGCUGUAAGCGAUACCACACGUAUUAUUUUACUUGUUUUUGUGAAUCAGUUUGUAUACCGUCAUUAUAAGAUAAUUUAGGAGAAAAUAUUAUUGUAAUCAUAUUAUUGAGUAUAUUAGAUCAAGGUGCAGCUUAUAAAUAAGUAGAUAUGGGUUACAAUAAAAUUUAUUUAAUAUGGAUUAAGUAUUUAAAUAUGUUUAUGAAGGAGGAUUUAAUUGUAAGAAAGGGA